UACGUAGGUGGCAAGCGUUGUCCGGAUUUACUGGGCGUAAAGAGCGCGCAGGCGGUCGUAUAAGUCGAAUGUGAAAGCCCCCGGCUCAACUGGGGAGGGUCAUUCGAUACUGUUCGACUCGAAGGCAGGAGAGGGAAGUGGAAUUCCGGGUGUAGUGGUGAAAUGCGUAGAUAUCGGGAGGAACACCAGUGGCGAAGGCGACUACCUGGCCUGUUUCUUGACGCUGAGGCGCGAAAGCUAGGGGAGCAAACGGG
rnacentral:rRNA from 1 species